UUAGUACCCCCUCUGUCCGAAAAUAUUUCUCAACAAAACGGAUAAAAAGGGAUGUAUCUAGAACUAAAAUACGUCUAGAUACAUCUCCUUUUAUCCAUUUUGAUGACAAGUAUUUCUGGACGGAGGGAGUACAAU
rfam:Triticum aestivum genome assembly, contig: Triticum_aestivum_CS42_TGACv1_scaffold_640751_T_6AS-0.210643_1AS-0.158933